CGUUAGCGUGGGGAACCCCGGGCGGGGCGAGGGGAGCCCAAAGCUGCUCCUCUUGAGCAAGCUGGAAAUCUAAUCUCAGGUAGCGAGACCUCUAAAUUAAAAAAGGGAUCUCUUUUAAAAGGAAGCCGAGGGGAGGGGAGUGGCCCUUUACCGUGGGCCAGAAUCUCCAGCUGAAUCUCUAGCAGCCUCCAUCUCGGAUAGUGACCCAUGUAUCCAGGAUCUUCUCAAUAGACUAAAGUGGAGAGUAUUCUUUGUCAUAAGUCCUUCAGACUGCUCCUGGAUCCUGGAUCAUACUGCUGAGAGUAGCCAAGUCUUAUCACAGGUGAUCAUUGUAUAGUGUUGCUGUUGCUGUGUACAUUAUUGUUCUGGUUCUUAUUUUGCUCUGGAUCAGUUCAUGCAGAUUUUUAUAGCUUUUUCUGUUAUCUCCCUGCUUAUCAUUGCUUACAACACAAUAGUAUGCCAUCACAUACCACAAUUUGUUUAGCCAAUUUCCAAACUGAAGGACAUCCCCAAUUCUUUGCCACCACAAAAAGCUGCUAUAAAUAGUCAAGUCCUUUCCCCUUUUUAUGAUUUCUUUUAAGAUACAGACCCAGUAAUGGUAUUACAGGAUCAAAGGGUAUGCAUUGAUUUAUAACCCCUUGGACAUAGUUCUAAAUUGCACUC
rnacentral:lncRNA from 1 species